rnacentral:rRNA from 1 species
UACAGAGGUCCCAAGCGUUGUUCGGAUUUACUGGGCGUAAAGGGUGCGUAGGUGGCGGGGUAAGUCUGGUGUGAAAGCUUCGAGCUCAACUCGGAAAAGCAUUGGAAACUAUCCCGCUGGAGGGUCGGAGGGGAGACUGGAAUUCUCGGUGUAGCAGUGAAAUGCGUAGAUAUCGAGAGGAACACCAGUGGCGAAGGCGGAUCUCUGGACAGCUCCUGACGCUGAGGCGCGAAGGCUAGGGGAGCAAACGGG